rnacentral:misc_RNA from 1 species
UUUCUUAAUACGACUCUCAAGAUUCCGUUGCAUCUCUCUUGAGUCCUUAAGUGCUUGUUCUAUUCGCUGACCGAACACCAUAGAGUCUUGAUCAAAAAGGAGUAUAUUGUCAUCAUCUUCCAAAACAUUGGGUAGAACUAUUUGCUCCAACAAAUGUCUUUGAGCAGUUUGCAAUUCUUCUUUUAUCUCAGAUCUAGAAAGCUUAGUGACAGGGCUUUUAGGCACGCUCUCAAUGCUUUGCAGCCUCAUUUUCCUCAGAAACUCCGUAACCAAGAUUUGACACUCCCUCUCAAUAGAUGCAAGUUCCCUCACACCAAUGCUCAAUGCAAGUGUUUCUCUCCUCAUAAUCUCAUCAUCUAUCUCUGCAAUCCUCUCCCAUACCCUGUUAUAUUCCUCAUCACUCUGUCUCACUUCCUCAUCCAAUUUUGCAACUUUUUCCUUUACUACUGCAUCUUUUUCAUUGCCCUUAGCCUUCUUCAAUAAACUUUCCUCCUCCCUCUUAUUCUUCAGCACUACAUCAAGAAUCUCGUCGGAACGAUUGACCAAGGCAUUUCUUUCCCCCUUUAACAAUCUCAGUUCCGCAUAGAGACCAUUCAUGAUCUCCCCUUGCAACUCAUUCCUCUUCAUGUUGACCUCCUUUAGCUUUUCCUCCACACAUUUCACAUCCUCUUUACCAGAUUUCACCUCCUCUAUCACUCUAAGCAACCCUGUAACCGUCUCUAACG